GAUGAACGCUGGCGGCGUGCCUAAUACAUGCAAGUCGAGCGAACGGACGAGAAGCUUGCUUUUCUGAUGUUAGCGGCGGACGGGUGAGUAACACGUGGAUAACCUACCUAUAAGACUGGGAUAACUUCGGUAAACCGGAGCUAAUACCGGAUAAUAUUUUGAACCGCAUGGUUCAAAAGUGAAAGACGGUCUUGCUGUCACUUAUAGAUGGAUCCGCGCUGCAUUAGCUAGUUGGUAAGGUAACGGCUUACCAAGGCAACGAUGCAUAGCCGACCUGAGAGGGUGAUCGGCCACACUGGAACUGAGACACGGUCCAGACUCCUACGGGAGGCAGCAGUAGGGAAUCUUCCGCAAUGGGCGAAAGCCUGACGGAGCAACGCCGCGUGAGUGAUGAAGGUCUUCGGAUCGUAAAACUCUGUUAUUAGGGAAGAACAUAUGUGUAAGUAACUGUGCACAUCUUGACGGUACCUAAUCAGAAAGCCACGGCUAACUACGUG
rnacentral:rRNA from 1 species